CUAUAGGUUUUAUUUAAAACCAUGAAUUGAAAACUAAUUGCUUCUU
rfam:Myotis lucifugus cont2.11818, whole genome shotgun sequence.